UCCGGUUUGUCACCGGCAGUCUCUGCAGAGUCCCCGGCAUUACCCGCUGGCAACAGCAGACAGGGGUUGCGCUCGUUCAAGGACUUAACCCAACAUCUCACGACACGAGCUGACGACAGCCAUGCAGCACCUGUGCACGGACUCCGAAGAGGGCCCGGUGUUUCCACCAGGUUUCCCGUGCAUGUCAAGCCCAGGUAAGGUUCUUCGCGUUGCGUCGAAUUAAACCACAUGCUCCACUGCUUGUGCGGGCCCCCGUCAAUUCCUUUGAGUUUCAACCUUGCGAUUGUACUUCCCAGGUGGAAUACUUAAUGCGUUAGCUUGGAUACUGACCUUAAAAAAAGACCAACAUCUAGUAUUCAUCGUUUAGGGUGUGGACUAC
rnacentral:misc_RNA from 1 species